CACAGCAAGAAGAAGAACGCGUAAACCUUGGGCUGAGCACGAUAUCUUGGGGUGCAGUUACUCGUAGGGAUCCUGGGUUCGACGCGACGAAUCAUCGGGAGUCAUCGGGCUGUACUCUUGUUCUUUUACCGAUUGGCGAACAUCUUCAAGCGUCUCUGGGGAUCCUUCGCGAGAAACAGGGUUGAGGGCGCUAACAACUUGCCACGAUAUGGAUGCGAGAAAUGUUUCGUCACCGCUUCUAAGUUUGUUUCGACAAACUCGUAUCGGCGCUAAAAGGCAUUUAAAAGUCCUUGGACGGUUGGUGGCGUGACGUGCAGAGGCGUGUAAACGUCUUCGGACUCCUGACGGACGUAGAGCAUCACCCUCUCCUCGGCAUCCGCUGGACGAAGAUGGGGGGGUUGUUGUUGAAGGUGCAG